rnacentral:rRNA from 1 species
UACGUAGGGGGCAAGCGUUGUCCGGAUUUAUUGGGCGUAAAGAGCGUGUAGGCGGCCAUACAGGUCAGCUGUGAAAACUCGAGGCUCAACCUCGAGACGUCGGUUGAAACCGUAUGGCUAGAGUCCGGAAGAGGAGAGUGGAAUUCCCGGUGUAGCGGUGAAAUGCGCAGAUAUCGGGAAGAACACCUGUGGCGAAAGCGGCGCACUGGACCACAACUGACGCUGAGGCGCGAAAGCUAGGGGAGCAAACAGG